GCUUUCUUCAGUGGCUGUAAGGUCUAUGCAAGGAGAGAUCUUGCUGAAAAGAUGGCUAAGGAUAUAUUACAGAUGGACCUGAAGAAGCCUGAAGGUCUUGUAGCCCUUUCAAACAUUUAUGCUGCUGAGGGAGAGUGGGAUAAUGUUGAGAAUGUGAGGAACAUGAUGAAGGACAAAGGAUUCAAUAAGAUGCCUGGUUCCAGUUGGUUGUAG
rnacentral:misc_RNA from 1 species